UACGAAGGAUCCAAGCGUUGUCCGGAUUUACUGGGUUUAAAGGGAGCGUAGGCGGCCUGCUAAGUCGAACGUGAAAUCCCCGGGCUCAACCCGGGAACUGCGUCCGAUACUGGCAGGCUUGAAUCCGGGAGAGGGAUGUGGAAUUCCAGGUGUAGCGGUGAAAUGCGUAGAUAUCUGGAGGAACACCGGUGGCGAAGGCGGCAUCCUGGACCGGUAUUGACGCUGAUGCGCGAAAGCCAGGGGAGCAAACGGG
rnacentral:rRNA from 1 species